AAAAGGGUCACACUAAACAUUGUACAACUUAUUUUAAAAAUGGUAUAAAAUUAAAUGUGCCACAAUGUGCUCACCGUAGAUUUAAAUGCUGUUUAAAGAGUCCAAAUGGGAUCAAGCUGCGUGAUUGGCCCGUUAAAAUUACGCCAAACCAAAUCUUGUUUAAAAGCUGGUUUAAAAAUAACUACUGAAUUUUCUGGAAAAGAUGUGAUCAGUUUUCAUCUUGUUGAGCGUUUUUUCACUAGUGCAACUUUGGAUUUUUUAUGAGACUUUUGGUACCUUAAUGAACACCUGGCCUCCAUGCUGGAAGCAAUAGCACAAAGCUUUUAAAGACAUUCUGACUUGACUAAUUGAGGUCGCACUCGCCAAGGCUGAGGAUGUGUAACCCUUAAACGGUCUUCAUUUUCAAAGGAUAUGUCAGCCAUGUUCGGAUGUCAGAGGAACUGGUUCUGACUUGGAGCAAGCAAAGGAACUGUCCUUCUGUGUAUGGACUGCUUAAGAAUAGUCAACUCACCACUGUGCCUUGUUAGUAAAUGAGUCUACUUGUGAACUUGAAGAUCAUCGUAAUUUCUUAUGUUGAUUUUUGUACAGAUUUUGUUUGGUGAAAUGUUUUUAUGAUUUUUUUUUUAAUUUGGAGGGCC